CAGCAGCCGCGGUAAUACGAAGGGGGCUAGCGUUGCUCGGAAUGACUGGGCGUAAAGGGCGCGUAGGCGGAUGGCACAGUCAGAUGUGAAAUUCCAGGGCUUAACCUUGGGGCUGCGUUCGAGACGGGUAUUCUAGAGUGGAGAAGAGGGUCGUGGAAUUCCCAGUGUAGAGGUGAAAUUCGUAGAUAUUGGGAAGAACACCAGUGGCGAAGGCGGCGACCUGGUCUUUUACUGACGCCGAGGCGCGAAAGCGUGGGGAGCAAACAGGAUUAGAUACCCCAGUAGUCCCUGUCUCUUAUAA
rnacentral:rRNA from 1 species